CCUACGGGAGGCAGCAGUAAGGAAUAUUGGUCAAUGGACGAAAGUCUGAACCAGCCAUGCCGCGUGAAGGAUGACGGCCCUCUGGGUUGUAAACUUCUUUUAUAUGGGACGAAAAAAGGGAAUUCUUUCUCACUUGACGGUACCAUAGGAAUAAGCACCGGCUAACUCCGUGCCAGCAGCCGCGGUAAUACGGAGGGUGCAAGCGUUAUCCGGAUUCACUGGGUUUAAAGGGUGCGUAGGUGGGUAGGUAAGUCAGUGGUGAAAUCUCCGAGCUUAACUCGGAAACUGCCAUUGAUACUAUCUAUCUUGAAUAUUUUGGAGGUGAGCGGAAUAUGUCAUGUAGCGGUGAAAUGCUUAGAUAUGACAUAGAACACCAAUUGCGAAGGCAGCUCACUACGAAAUUAUUGACACUGAGGCACGAAGGCGUGGGGAUCAAACAGGAUUAGAUACCCUGGUAGUCCACGCCCUAAACGAUGGAUACUCGACAUCAGCGAUACACUGUUGGUGUCUGAGCGAAAGCAUUAAGUAUCCCACCUGGGAAGUACGACCGCAAGGUUGAAACUUAAAUGAAUUGACCGGNGNGAGAGAGCGAGACGACGACGAGGGAGGAGG
rnacentral:rRNA from 1 species